GCUAGUGUAGCUUAACCAAAGCAUAGCACUGAAGAUGUUAAGAUGGACUCUAACGGGUCCCACGGGCA
ensembl:Mt_tRNA